UACGUAGGGGUGCGAGCGUUAAUCGGAAUUACUGGGCGUAAAGCGUGCGCAGGCGGUUUUGUAAGCCAGAUGUGAAAUCCCCGGGCUUAACCUGGGAAUGGCAUUUGGGACUGCAAGGCUCGAGUGCGGCAGAGGAGACUGGAAUUCCUGGUGUAGCAGUGAAAUGCGUAGAUAUCAGGAGGAACACCGAUGGCGAAGGCAGGUCUCUGGGCUGACACUGACGCUCAUGCACGAAAGCGUGGGGAGCAAACAGG
rnacentral:rRNA from 1 species